rnacentral:rRNA from 1 species
UACGUAGGGUGCGAGCGUUAAUCGGAAUUACUGGGCGUAAAGCGUGCGCAGGCGGUUUUGUAAGACCGAUGUGAAAUCCCCGGGCUUAACCUGGGAACUGCAUUGGUGACUGCAAGGCUGGAGUACGGCAGAGGGGGGUGGAAUUUUGCGUGUAGCAGUGAAAUGCGUAGAUAUGCAAAGGAACACCGAUGGCGAAGGCAGCCCCCUGGGCCUGUACUGACGCUCAUGCACGAAAGCGUGGGGAGCAAACAGG